rnacentral:rRNA from 1 species
GACGGAAGGUGCAAGCGUUGCUCGGAAUCACUGGGCGUAAAGGGUGCGUAGGCGGCCGUGCAAGUCUGGCGUGAAAGCCCCGGGCUCAGCCCGGGAAGUGCGCUCGAAACUGCGCGGCUCGAGUGCCGGAGGGGAGAGUGGAAUUCCUGGUGUAGCGGUGAAAUGCGCAGAUAUCGGGAGGAACACCAAUGGCGAAGGCAGCUCGCUGGGACGUUACGUGACGCUGGAGACGCGAAAGCGUGGGAGCAA